UACGUAGGGUGCAAGCGUUGUCCGGAAUUAUUGGGCGUAAAGAGCUCGUAGGCGGUUUGUCGCGUCUGCUGUGAAAACCCGAGGCUCAACCUCGGGCCUGCAGUGGGUACGGGCAGACUAGAGUGCGGUAGGGGAGAUUGGAAUUCCUGGUGUAGCGGUGGAAUGCGCAGAUAUCAGGAGGAACACCGAUGGCGAAGGCGGCGUCUGGACUGCAACUGACAACUGAGGAACGAAAGCCAAGGGGAGGCAAACGGG
rnacentral:rRNA from 1 species